GAUGAACGCUGGCGGCGUGCUUAACACAUGCAAGUCGAGCGGGCAAUUUAUCUAGCACUGAUUACUUCAAAUGGCUAUCGCCAGUGCAAUCAUGAAUUUCUACCUUAUAAUAAAGAAAAAAGAAAUUCAUGUACGCAAAUAGUGAUAACACAUUUUAGUGGAGUGAUGAGUGCUGGAUAAAUUGCUAGCGGCGGACGGGUGCGUAACACGUGGGUAACCUGCCCCUAUCACUGGGAUAACACACUGAAAAGUGUGCUAAUACCAGAUAACAUAAGCUUUUGGCAUCAUUAGCUUAUCAAAGAAUUUCGGAUAGGGAUGGGCCCGCGUCUGAUUAGCUAGUUGGUGAGGUAACGGCUCACCAAGGCAACGAUGGAUAGGGGAACUGAGAGGUUUAUCCCCCACACUGGUACUGAGACACGGACCAGACUCCUACGGGAGGCAGCAGUGAGGAAUAUUGGUCAAUGGACGCAAGU
rnacentral:rRNA from 1 species